UUUCCGUAGGUGAACCUGCGGAAGGAUCAUUAUUGUAUAACCGAGGUGCGAGGGCUCUCGCUGACCCGAAAGGUCGUGCACGCCCGAGUGCUCUCACACACAUCCAUCUCACCCCUAUGUGCACCACCGCGUGGGUCCCCCUUUGGCUUGUUCGGAGGGGGGCUUACGUUUUCACACAAACUUUGUAUGCAGUGUAGAAUGUAUUUUUUGUUUUUGCGAUCACGCAAUCAAUACAACUUUCAACAACGGAUCUCUUGGCUCUC
rnacentral:misc_RNA from 1 species